rnacentral:rRNA from 1 species
GGCCAGACUCCUACGGGAGGCAGCAGUGGGGGAUAUUGCACAAUGGGGGAAACCCUGAUGCAGCGACGCCGCGUGAGUGAAGAAGUAAUUCGUUACGUAAAGCUCUAUCAGCAGGGAAGAAGAAGGACGGUACCUGAGUAAGAAGCCCCGGCUAACUACGUGCCAGCAGCCGCGGUAAUACGUAGGGGGCAAGCGUUAUCCGGAUUUACUGGGUGUAAAGGGAGCGUAGACGGCGAAGAAAGUCUGAAGUGAAAGCCCGCGGCUCAACCGCGGAAUGGCUUUGGAAACUUUUUUGCUGGAGUACCGGAGAGGUAAGCGGAAUUCCUAGUGUAGCGGUGAAAUGCGUAGAUAUUAGGAGGAACACCAGUGGCGAAGGCGUCUUACUGGACCGAAACUGACGUUGAGGCUCGAAAGCGUGGGGAGCAAACAGGAUUAGAUACCCCCGUA